rnacentral:rRNA from 1 species
UACGUAGGGGGCAAGCGUUGUCCGGAUUUAUUGGGCGUAAAGAGCGUGUAGGCGGCCAGGUAGGUCUGCUGUGAAAACUCGAGGCUUAACCUCGAGCUGUCGGCGGAAACCAUCUGGCUAGAGUCCGGAAGAGGAGAAUGGAAUUCCCGUGUAGCUGGUGAAAUGGCGCAAGUAUAUCGGAAUGGAAGACACCCGGUGGC